rnacentral:rRNA from 1 species
UACGUAGGGGGCAAGCGUUGUCCGGAAUUAUUGGGCGUAAAGAGCUCGUAGGCGGUGUGUCACGUCGGCCGUGAAAACCUGCAGCUUAACUGUGGGCGUGCGGUCGAUACGGGCAUCACUGGAGUUCGGCAGGGGAGACUGGAAUUCCUGGUGUAGCGGUGAAAUGCGCAGAUAUCAGGAGGAACACCGGUGGCGAAGGCGGGUCUCUGGGCCGAUACUGACGCUGAGGAGCGAAAGCGUGGGGAGCAAACAGG